GUGUCAGCAGCCGCGGUAAUACGGAGGGUGCGAGCGUUGUUCGGAAUUAUUGGGCGUAAAGCGCGUGUAGGCGGUUUCUUAAGUCUGAUGUGAAAGCCCCGGGCCUAACCUGGGAAGUGCAUUGGAUACUGGGAGACUUGAGUACGGGAGAGGGUAGUGGAAUUCCUAGUGUAGGAGUGAAAUCCGUAGAUAUUAGGAGGAACACCGGUGGCGAAGGCGGCUGCCUGGACCGAUACUGACGCUGAGACGCGAAAGCGUGGGGAGCAAACAGGAUUAGAUACCCUGGUAGUCCACGCCGUAAACGAUGAGUACUAGGUGUUGCGGGUAUUGACCCCUGCAGUGCCGCAGCUAACGCAUUAAGUACUCCGCCUGGGAAGUACGGUCGCAAGACUAAA
rnacentral:rRNA from 1 species